CUUGACCGAACCGAGCAGCACCGGUGCCGCGCGCUCCUGGCCGUACGUGGCGAGGACGGCCUGCGCCUC
rnacentral:antisense_RNA from 1 species